UGGGGAAUUUUGGACAAUGGGGGAAACCCUGAUCCAGCCAUCCCGCGUGUGCGAUGAAGGCCUUCGGGUUGUAAAGCACUUUUGGCAGGAAAGAAACGUCAUGGGUUAAUACCCCGUGAAACUGACGGUACCUGCAGAAUAAGCACCGGCUAAGUACGUGCCAGCAGCCGCGGUAAUACGUAGGGUGCAAGCGUUAAUCGGAAUUACUGGGCGUAAAGCGUGCGCAGGCGGUUCGGAAAGAAAGAUGUGAAAUCCCAGAGCUCAACUUUGGAACUGCAUUUUUAACUACCGGGCUAGAGUGUGUCAGAGGGAGGUGGAAUUCCGCGUGUAGCAGUGAAAUGCGUAGAUAUGCGGAGGAACACCGAUGGCGAAGGCAGCCUCCUGGGAUAACACUGACGCUCAUGCACGAAAGCGUGGGGAGCAAACAGG
rnacentral:rRNA from 1 species